rnacentral:misc_RNA from 1 species
AAAGUCGUAACAAGGUAACCGUAGGUGAACCUGCGGUUGGAUCAUUAACAAAUAAUUUUAGGCCCCCGGCUGCCCAAAAGGCGAAGGGGAACACCUAGACAUUUGUGUGCACCAUAUCUGUUUUUGGCAGUUCGAGCGUCCUGAGUAUGCGUAACUGCCUCAGGUACCUACCAAGGCAAGCCUCUGGGUUUGCUGAGGUUGGGCUGCCGCCAUUUUGAACAAACCCUUUGUUUUUUUUUAAUAGCCUGAAAUUGUUUGAUCUUCACAGAUUGAAUUUAAAUACAACUUUUGACAACGGAUCUCUUGGCUCUC